UACGUAGGGACCAAGCGUUGUUCGGAUUUACUGGGCGUAAGGCGCGUAGGCGGCUUAACAAGUCACUUGUGAAAUCUCCGGCUUACUCGGAAGGUCAACUGAUACUGUGCGACUAGAGUGCAGAAGGGCAACUGGAAUUCUCGGUGUAGCGGUGAAUGCGUAGAUAUCAGGAGGAACACCGGUGGCGAAGCGGUCUCUGGCCGAUACUGACGCUGAGGAGCGAAGCGUGGAGC
rnacentral:rRNA from 1 species